CAGCUGGGACUUCAGGGCCUCUGCCUCCUUCCCUGCUUGUUCAUCAUGGGUCACCUGGAUGUUCUCACUGAGCUCCUUCUGCAGCAUGAGAGGAAGAAGGGGCAAGUACUGGGGUGGUAGGAAAGAGGUGUCGCACCCAUGGGAUCCUAAUAGACACCCUGCAUGCUCAUGUCCACCUCAUCAUCGGCCUCUGGACCCAGUGUACCACUCCUUCCAGCCCUCUGCCCCGGGGAAGGCUGCCUGCUACUAGCUACGCUAUAUGGUGGGGUGAAAAUACAGAGCUGCACAACGUGAACGACAUGACUCAAAUUCUGAGAAACCAAGCCUGCGCAGAAACUGAAUUGGAAGGACAGAACCCCCAGGGCCUGCAGCUCCGAGGCCAGCCUGGAACAAAGUGCUGAUCAGAGUGGGAUGCACCUCCUCUCUCCCCUGGACACUCCCCCAGCCCCGGCAGUCACUGGCCCAGGCAAAGGCCAGGCAAUGGCUUCCAACACCACA